rnacentral:lncRNA from 1 species
UGAGAGAGUGUGUAUACUGAGAGAGAGAGUGCGUGUAUGCUGAGAUUUUUUAAGAAAUGACCUAAUGGAGUAUUUUGGGAUGAUUAAGAAAAAAUAAGGGUUGUAAUUAGUUUUGUUAAUUAAUAUUUUAAAUUGCCUAAAUUUUGCCAAAAAAAAGGAAAAGCAUCAACUUCGUUGGAACGGCCCAAAAAGGAAUACGCAUCAACUUCGGUGAAGUUGAGGGAGUACUUAAUAUCAAUCCACAAUGGGCUGCUAAACACAAAAGUUCGUGCCCAUUUCAAAAACAGCAUAGUAGUAGCAACCCAACGUAUAGAGAGCAGCCCAGUAACCACACCAUCAGUGACCCGGACCCGCGGUCCAUUUCACAUCGGGUCCGAA